rnacentral:lncRNA from 1 species
GGCAAUCCCCCAUCAGAAUAAUAAAUUAAGGAAAAGGUGAUCAACUUUUAUUCCCCACUCUAGCAGCAUUUUCGGAAGUCUCUCCGGCGAUUCUGUGCAAUAUAAGAUGAAUUCACGGUAAAAAUGAUGCAAUGGUAAUCAAAUAAGCAUGAACUUUAUGAAAUUAUGAUACAAAAUACAGAUAUCACUGGUAAUCAUGGACGAUUGUUUCGAUAGUAGCUGGCACUAUGCACAAUGCAUGCAUGUACUAUGUGAAACGUGCAUCAACUAGACCUGAUUAUAGUCCGUCGUUGUGGGUAUUGGAUUCAUCCGAGUCUUGCCAGUGUUGGUACUCAAACUCUGCCGUCGAGAGACUCUUCUAGUCACUGAACCGUCAUCAGGAAGACCGCUGUGUGAUCACAAAUGCAGGCUCUUACACCAAAUGUCAAAUUGCAGCUAAAAAUAUCGCAAGAAACAUGUGUACCACUAUUUCAUUUAUGAGACAGGGCUUUCAACACCCGGGUGCCCAACAACAACCUGCCCAUGGCUGGACAACACAAGGGGAAAACAACUUUACUAGGCCGCAUCGUGGACUAGCACGCUUCUGGCCUACAUGCAAACGACCUGCGGACUCGAUUGAACCGAGUUUACAAAUUAACAUAUUGCAACAUAAACUAGCGUACUUGACACAAACACACUUAACUUCGGCAUGGUCCGGAGAUCAGGUGGACGGGCAGCUGCUCUCACACUUUGGGAGGUUUCCUCUCAUUCUUAUUCUUAUGCCGCGGCUUCAUUUUGCUAUUCUGAGCCACGACGGCGGUAUUCUUGGGUUGUGUAUUCCCGUUCUUCAACGACCGCAGUUUCUUCAUCUUCGUACUGGUUGGCGUUAUCUUUGUCUUGUUAGGGGCAUUCUUUGCAGCUUCCUUGCCCUUGCCCAUGAUGCGAUCACCUUCUCUNUCUUAGAAUUUAUGACGAUAUUCGUCGUUUCUUCUUCUUUUCAGGCGAGGUGGAUGAUUGGUGUUUAGUUUUCUCCGGUUGGGUUCAGAAAGCCUGCGGCAACAGCUGCAUAAACAGGAGGUGGGAGGUCUUGGGAAAGCGCUCACAUGGGACGACAACACGCUUUCGCCCGAGGAGGUUUGGUGGGGUUGCCAGUGC